CAACCCCUAGGGAGUCUGAUUUCACUGGUCUGAGGCCACGCCUCCUCAUCCACACCGUUUAAAAAGCUUCCCAAGCCAGGCAACAACUGAGCUGAGCGUCUGGACCUGAACCGCCCUGCAGGGAAAGGCAACGGAAGCUCUUGCUAGGGUAGCAACUAUGAGCUCAAAUCCACCGUCCCCCUCCCCGACUUCAGGACUCCAGGUUGUGGUUCGAACCCGCCUUUGGCAGCUCCUUCAAACGGGAACCAGCCCCAUCACUUUGUAACGUUCGGCGUUGGCGCAGGGGUCUGCAGCUUCCGCCUGCCCGAAACUUGGUGCUGGCUGACCCUGAAGGCGGCCCUGUGAGAGGGAGGCAAGAGAGCGAGCUGAUCCGGGCACCGCACAGGCGGAGGCCGAGACUCUGUCAGGAGUGGAGUUGCUUUUUUACUUAUUUGGAACUCAAAUUCUCGCUCCUGUGAGAGGGGAACAACCAUUUUCGAAGAGUAACUAGCAUCUGCAGCCGCUAGAGGGCAGACCUCAGCCUGAGAACGCAGUUUCCUAGGAUACAGGACCGGUCACCUCACUGCAUCUCCCUUUGCGUCCCCAGAAGGCGCUGCUGCCAGCUUAAGAUGCCUAACACCUGAUGGGUCCUGUCGCCAGCUCCACGGCUCCUGGCAGUUGGUUCAUCCCUUGAGCUGGAAGAAGGAAAUAGACUUCUCUUCAGGGUACUACAGCCGAGGAGAACAUGAGCAUUGUGAGUCUCUGGAGAGGCUACUGAAUAACUCUGCGGCGAAGCCCACAGAGCUACUGCAGAGGAUGGAUGUUUCCCUCUGAGCAAAGCAGACACGAUCAUCAAAUCUGCUUUGCCAAGUAUUUAUUUGAAUCUUCAUUUCAAGGCUGAGGAAUCAGUAAUUCACCAGAAAAGAGAAAAAGAAUUAAUUAAACUAAAUCUAAGCCAUCUUACAUAACAAAAUACCACGAAAUAGCUUGUAUAAGAACUGCUGGGGUCUUUUCUAGAACUUGUUAAUUUGGUCUUUUGGUGAUCACUACUGGCCAACAAACCUACCUAUUACACCAGCGUAGUAUUUGUACUUUGUAGAGGAAAUUCAGAGAGGGCUGAAGAGAAAAACAGUAGAGUAAGUCCUGCCAACUAAAUAAAAUGGCGCCUGUCACAACAUCAAUUUGUGUAAAAUGGCAAAAGAACAUCUAAUAUACAGGCCUGUCAACGAACGUCUAAAUAACAGGGCUCUUCUCGGCUACGUCUGCGCGUAGGUUUACACUUAAAAUACAUGUGUCUAGGAACUCAGAAGAGUUGAGGGUUGAGUUGGAGCUGCCAUUGAUGUUUCUCACAUUUGAGCUCCAGUUCAUGACACACUAAUCGUGCACUUAUUACAAGUGCUGCCUUCGCAUCACCCCUGACAGGACAGAAAAGAGAGGCAUACAUCCUGCUUUGUGGGCCACCUAUAAUUAUGGGUUUGCAUCAAAAGCAAAGAAAAGUCAUGUCAUUGGUCUCAUUUAGAAGCACAACAGGCUCAAAGCCUUUGAGAGUGAAAAGUGUGGCACAGCGUGGGAGAGGAUUUCUGUACAGAAAAUUAUCAAAGCCAUGAUUGUAACAUUUCUAUUCCCAAAUCCGUAUGAGCUCCUCUGAAAAAAAGAACAUGAUGUAGCUAGACCUCCAGGAAAGUUGGUGAUAUCUGUGCCACCGUAGGCUUGUAGAGUUCACUUAGCCUAACAGACGGAAAGAUGCUAAAGUUUGGAAGAAUAAUACUAGCCCAGUGCUGGAAUAGUGUCCAUCUCAUGCCAGACAUGGGACAAAUU